UCGAGGGGAAACGACAUCGAAAGCUUGCUUUUGAUGGGCGUCGACCGGCGCACGGGUGAGUAACGCGUAUCCAACCUGCCCAUAAGAGGGGGAUAACCUUGCGAAAGUAAGACUAAUACCCAAUGACGUCUCUAGAAGACAUCUGAAAGAGAUUAAAGAUUUAUCGGUGAUGGAUGGGGAUGCGUCUGAUUAGCUUGUUGGCGGGGUAACGGCCCACCAAGGCUACGAUCAGUAGGGGUUCUGAGAGGAAGGUCCCCACAUUGGAACUGAGACACGGUCCAAACUCC
rnacentral:rRNA from 1 species